UAUUUUGCAUAUAAUUAGCAUAAUUGGCUUUGACAACCUCAAUCAACAUACACACAUGCACCCACAGGACAAUGGCAUCUUACAUGGCAGUAGUACACAGAAACUCAGGAGUGGAAGAGAUGAUGGGCCUGGGUACUGGCCUCAGCUGUCUGCAACUGCUGCCAACCAUGCGAUAUGGCUGAAGUUAUUCAUGGUGAGGGCACACCAUUGUUCUUCAUGCCAUCACUGUCAUUGCUGAAAUAACCUUCCCCCUUUGCUACUUACAAAGAAAAGGCCUAUCCCACUCUCAGCCUUGGAAUGAACCAAAUUCCUCUACAAUGUGUCGACACUGCUGGUGAUAAAGGCAAAUUUCAAGAAGUACUAUGCCCAGACUGAGUCCUGCUAUGACCCCAUAUUUAUAGGCAACUAGGCAGCAGCAAAUACCACUGAAGAAAAAUCUACAAGAGUCUCGGAAUACUACUGCAGCAUAUGUAUUAGUCAACAGCU